CGUAGAGACUGUCCAGUUUGACAAAUGUACAUGGCAGAGGGGCAUAGCUGGCACAUGAUGGCAUAUAUCACAUUGGUGGAUGUGCAGGUGAACGAGCCUCUGAUAGUGUAGUGUGGUAGUAUUCCAAAGAUAUCAAUAAAAUCUGUAUUCCCCCACCUUUCUCCUGCUCUCUCCUCCACCUUGAGCCUGUCUGUCUUAGAAACAGGAGAAGUAAAUACCCUUUACACAGCAGGACUGGAAGUAAAAUUAACUCUUCUAACCAACAAAAGGUUAUUCUGAAAAUAAGUCUCUAAUACUUUGGCUCCCAAUAAGAGACUUUAAAGGAUUUGAUUGUUUCUAUUUCAAUAUAAAUGCUCGUUUUAAUUUCUUGUGUUCUAUCAAUACACUUUCAGUUUUAGAAUGAAUGCUUUUGGGUGUUUGCCGAGUAAACUAAGGUCUCUGUAGAACUCCCCCACCCCCAAAUCUAUCUACCAUGUGAUGUUGGAUAGUGAGAGAGUUUAUAGUCACCUUAACUCUUCAGGCCUUCAAGAUCACUACAAUAUGCCCCAACUCAAGUCCCAUCCUUAUACAAAACAUCUUAAGGGUGGUGCUGCUUUUAACUCCAGUUGGCUGCCCAGUCAGGGAUGUGGGCUAUACUGUUCAAGUUAGCACAGCUUGUCAGCUGCUAACAGAGUCCCUCUGUGCAGCUCAAGUAGUAUUUCAUAGUGUGGCUGUAUUUACUUGAGCUGGGCUAACUCCAGAGGAGUUAACUCAGGUGUAGAUAAUAUCAGUUUACUCUGCUGUGAAGACAUUUAUCAUAUGUGCCAUGGUGUGUCCCAUAUAAUUAUAUUCUUUCAUUCAUCUGCUUGCAUGCCCACUGCCUUGCACUGUUUUAGGGACAGCUCUAUGGACUGGAUCAGGAAUUACUUACAGUGGGUUCCUACAGCUUCCAAUGUGAUAGGAUGGAGGUGUCUCUGUAAUCGGAAGGAUCAUGCAGCCUUGUUUCUGUGAUGAGUUAUGUGGAUUCUGCAGGCAGAGGAGCACUAUGAUCUAUUGUUGCCAUGGGGAUUUCUAGCGGUCUGGUAUCAGACAUGACAGUGUUACAGGGCAGAGAGAAGUGCAGGUGGUGUUCCAGAGGGAAUCCAUAGGCCAAGGUGUGAGGCAGUGCCGCUCAUACUUAGCUAUUCAUUAACCUAGUUCUUGGGCAGUCAGUAAAACAGUUACUAACCUGUUCUGUAACUGUUGUUCCUCUAGAUGUUGCACAUGUCAGUUCCACUUCAGGUUUGUGUGCACCAGUGAGAGAUUUUUCCUUUAGUGGCACCCCUCGUGGUGGCAUGCACACACCAUCUGCAGCCUUGAGCUGCUGUGCUCUGCAUAACAGGCGGAGUCACCUCCAACCCCUCUCAGUUCCUUCCUAUUGGACAGACUCCAAUAUAAAGGGGAAGAAUGGCAGGUCCUGGAGUGGACAUGUGCAGCACAUCCCGAAGAACAACAGUUACAGAACAGGCUAGGAACCGUUCUUCAAGUGAUUGCACUGUCCAUUCCACUUCAAGUUGACUCAAAUAGUUCAAUCCAAAGAUGGGUUUGAGUCUACCUGAAGGACUACUCAUCUGAACUUGGCAUUGUUUCUGAAGUGCUGAAUGAAUCGUGAAGGUGUGUACCGAUGACAAAGUUGCAGCCUUACAAAUGUCUGUUAUAGGCACUUGGGCUAGAAAAGCUGCAAAAGUUGGUUGAGAUCUUGUUGAUCACCCUUCCGGGCAGGGUUACGUUGGUAAUGUCAUAGCACAUAUGCUUACAGAAGGAAAUCCAUGAGUGGACCCUCUGAAUAGAAACUGGAAGGCGCUUGAUCCUGUCUGCAACACUAUGAACAAUUCAGAUGACAAUCUAAACAAUCUGGUUCUGUCCAAGUAAAAAGCUAAUGUUUUUCUGACAUCCAAGCAUGCGAGUGAAUUAACCUGCUGGCAACCUGUGAGAUAGCAUCACAGCACAUUAUAAAUAUGGUCAAGUCAUGAUCGCUUGAACCUAAGUUCACUGAUGAUUGAUCAAGAUAGUGACUUUGAUGAAGAUUAACAACAGCUACAGUUUGAGAUUCAUUUUGACACAAUGAAAGUAGUCCUCUUCAUUUCCUCUCUUGAACUUGUGAUGAUGUACAAUAGCUGCUCUGCUCUACUCCGGGGGUGGUUGCAUUGGUCCCUGUGUAUAUACCAGCUUCUUAGAUUUGUAAAACCCCCAGGACGACGAUCGAUUGUUGUCCAUGUCCAAAUAAGUCAAGUCAAGAAGUAAUCGGCUUAGUUUGCAACAAGGGAGAUUUAGGUUAGAUAUUAGGAAAAACUUCUAACGGUGAGCAUAGUUAAGUAUUGGAACUGGUUACCUUGGGACACUGGGGGAUCCCAUCUUUGGUUUUUAAAAAACAUGUUAGACAAACAUCUGUCUGGGAUGGAUAAGGGACACUUAAUCCUUUCUUAGGUCGGGAGCGGGGGAAAUGGACUAGAUAAGUUUUUGAAUUCCCUUCCAACCCUACAUUUCUAUGAUUUUAUGCCACAUUUAAAAUACAAGUAUACUUCAGUUACAUGCAGUAGCCAAUAAUUUAUUCUUAUUGGGGGCAAGGAUAUGGAGAGAGAAGUGGACAUGAAGAAGAUGCUACUGCAUUAGAUAUGCACAAUGACAUUUUCCACUGUGACUAACUUUGCUCCAUGUGAUCUUGUGCAGUCAUCAGUGUUAAAGAAGGUGGCCAAGUGAGAGAUCUAGACACUGCAUUGCAAAAAGCCAGAGCUCCUGAAACCAAGCAACUACUAAUCUGUUCUACAAAUAUACAUGUUCAAGGACACAGCACCCUCAUCAACCCAACUAAGCAGGCCCCCCCUUUUAGAGAUAACAGCAACAAAGAACAUCUGAAGAUAAAUAAAAUAUUGCCCUGCAAUAUUCAAAGCCUAGUGAUUCUUCUUGCUAUGUUUAGUGUGGAAGAAAGAGCAGAGUUGAAAAAGCAUUCACCUACUCAUAUCAUCAGGCUGGCCGGUUGUGACAAUCCAAAUCCAGACACUGCAAAGGGAGAACAGGGCUCUAAAUCUGAAGGAAUAAGUAAUUGAAGCAACUGGUUGUAUACAAUAUUAUUGUGUAUAAAAAUACAUCACAUAAGGUCUUUGAUGAAA